rnacentral:snRNA from 2 species
GGAUAUCAGGGUGAUCUGGCUUAAACAUCUGUUACUCCACUGAUUGCCAGGUUGCUUUGGCCAAUCUGGCUGGCUAGGCAGGCAUCCCCUUCUUCCCUCACCGCUCCCUGCAUAUCCCUCCUAUAGCUAUGUGCUAGGUUGAAGAGGACUACCUUUCCAAAUAGAGUGGGACUGUUCCGUCAAGGUGUAGGAGUAGCUAUCUUCUGCUAGAACUUCCAAACAAGAUCUCAGUAUGAGAAUUUUACUUUAUUCUAAUAUCUUAAGAAUUACAUGAUAUUAAAGUAGUACAAAAUAAUAUUAAAGCCUAAGAUUUGAAUAAAAUUA